AACCAAAACCUAAACAUGACGAUUAAGUUUUCAGGUUGUUUUAUGAUAUGUGCCUUCCUCAAAACUUGUUACGAUAUCAUCACCUCACCCAUCUGAUG
ensembl:snoRNA